rnacentral:misc_RNA from 1 species
UGGAUGGCGUGGGUCGGCAGGCUCUGUGCUCGUGCAUCGAACUGUUGGCGCCCCAUCCGCUUCAGUCUUGCCCCAAGUGCAGCUCUUGGCUUGCGGGUGCCAAAGGUAUCCUGUGUUGCUUACCCGCGGAAAGGAAUUCGAUGGUUUUGGUGUCCCCAUCCGCCUUGUGCCCUUUGGGGUGCGGGGUGGACGCGAGGCGGGCUCCGUGUUCCUCGUGUGUCGAGUGUGUUAACACUUGACCGCUGUGGCCCAUGGGGUCUCGACCCGUGCUCUUGGAUGCGGAAUGUUGUGUGUGGGCGUGGGGUCUCGGCCUCUUCUCGUCCAAGCUACACGCAUUGUCCCUUAACAUGAACGACCGUCGCGCCCGUCUUGAUCGACCGACCGAGCCCCUAUUUUGGGUUUUCGGGAGGGCGGCUCAUGCGGAUGUCGGCGUCGGAGAGGAAUGC